AGAAACUCAGAAAUAUGUAAACGACAAGCCAGAGGAUCCUCUCUCCAAAUGUCUCUGAAAAACACUGGGUGAUCAACUAAAACUCAGAGAGGAUUAGUAACUGCCUAGGUUACACAUUAAGGAGCAAAUAGAGAUUUUGCCAAAGGCAGACAGAUUCCUGUGUUCUUAACCACAGAAACCUUGGCUAUUCUCUCUCUUCUCAUUCAUAAAAACACUAUCCCUAAUUGUUUGUUUUGCUACAUAAUCUCCCUUUCUAAAUCUAAAACAGAUAAGAGAUUUGUAGAUAGGAUGGAAAAUGAGCUGUUCAUGACUGGCCACUAAUUAAUUUUGGUAAAUGGAAAGAAGGAAUUAACUUCUCCAACUGAAAUCCAAAGCAAAAGAGCCGAAAUGCAGUAGAGUGGGAAACGAAUAAGAUUUAAGAGUAAAAGCUUUCUCUUAGGCAGACAGUCAUGACAAGCAAAUCCUAAGACUGCACCUGACCGAGUCAAUAUUUGCUCAUUCAACACUACUUCUACUUGUUCAUUACAAGGGUUUAUCUGGAAGGUUACAGAUAAAUCAGUUACUGAAUCCAUAUGAGCACUGCCC
rnacentral:lncRNA from 1 species